UACCCAGUCAUUACAGAGAGCCAGUUGAGUAAGAUUUUUGUUAAGGAAAGAUAGAUGUCUUUGCUUCUUUAAAGGUGUCAUAUGUCAAUCUCAAAUCUUACCUUGAUCAUAAGCAACCAUUGUUUGCUUACCUGUUGCAUCACUGAAGCAAAAUAAGUCAUACUAGCCACAAAAACAAGACUAACAUUGGAUUUCCACAGCUCUUUCGGCAGUGGGCUGGAAAGUGCUAUUAAAACAUGGCUGUUUCAUAAUUUCCCUAUUGGCUUCUGGGUUUCCUGCUAAAAAAUCCCUCCAACAUCGGCUGGGCGCGGUGGCUCACGCCUGUAAUCCCAGCUACUCAGGAGGCUGAGGCAGGAGAAUCACUUGAACCUGGGAGGUGGAGGUUGCAGUGAGCCGAGAUAGCACCAUUGCACUCCAGAAAUGCGGUCUCACUACGUUGCCCAGGCUGGUCUUGAAUUCCUGGUCUCAAGCCGCCCUCCCACCUAAGCCUUCCAAAGUGCUGGCAUUACAGAAAAUGGUAAACAAGGGAAAGAAAGAGGAGUUCCAGACCGUGCAUACCAAAAUAUUACAGACACACAGGAAAUGACUCUUCAAAUCCAGGCUGUAAACCUGUCAUUUCGUGGGCUUGUCUGUGGGCCUAGAAAAGCGAGACAAAGAUCACACCGAAGACAUUACUGUUUGGGGCUGGCUGUACUGGAGGACCUCUGGAGGCCUUUCCAUGCCAGGUGCUAUGAUUCUAAACUCAAGUCAUAAAAUGAAAUGUUAGAGGAAAGCCAAUGAAAUUUGAGGCAGAACUUGUGGCUUAAAGCUCAUUUUGCUUUAAAAAAUGUAGACUUUGAAAAACUGUUCUUUACAAGCAACAAAAAUUUUUUAAAGAAACUGAAAAGCUAAAAAGUAUUUUUUUGGGGGAGGGAGUAAUAUUCUCAGCCCUAUUACUAUCUUUUAAGGCUUUCGAUUACAGAUACUCCAAACAUGUAAUAAGUUACU